GAUGAACGCUAGCUACAGGCUUAACACAUGCAAGUCGAGGGGAAACGACAUCGAAAGCUUGCUUUUGAUGGGCGUCGACCGGCGCACGGGUGAGUAACGCGUAUCCAACCUGCCCACCACUUGGGGAUAACCUUGCGAAAGUAAGACUAAUACCCAAUGAUAUCUCUAGAAGACAUCUGAAAGAGAUUAAAGAUUUAUCGGUGAUGGAUGGGGAUGCGUCUGAUUAGCUUGUUGGCGGGGUAACGGCCCACCAAGGCUACGAUCAGUAGGGGUUCUGAGAGGAAGGUCCCCCACAUGGGAACUGAGACACGGUCCAAACUCCUACGGGAGGCAGCAGUGAGGAAUAUUGGUCAAUGGGCGAGAGCCUGAACCAGCCAAGUAGCGUGCAGGAUGACGGCCCUAUGGGUUGUAAACUGCUUUUAUAAGGGAAUAAAGUGAGCCUCGUGAGGCUUUUUGCAUGUGCCUUAUGAAUAAGGACCGGCUAAUUCCGUGCCAGCCGCCGCCGUAA
rnacentral:rRNA from 1 species